AUAUAGGUUGUAGGGAACUGAAAGGGACCGACCCUUCGGGAGCCUAUACAGGUGUGCAUGGCUGUCGUCAGCUCGUGUCGUGAGAUGUUCGGUUAAGUCCGCUAACGAGCGCAACCCUCGUCGUAUGUUAUAUGUGUCAUACGAGACUGCCGGUAAAAGCCGGAGGAAGGUGAGGAUGAUGUCAAGUCAGCAUGACCUUUAUAUCCAGGGCUACACACACGCUACAAUGGUCUGUACAAUGGGUAGCCAAGCCGCGAGGCGGAGCCAAUCCUGAAAGCAGGCCUCAGUUCAGAUUGCAGUCUGCAACUCGACUGCAUGAAGCCGGAGUUGCUAGUAACCGCAGGUCAGCAAUACUGCGGUGAAUACGUUCCCGGGUCUU
rnacentral:rRNA from 1 species